rnacentral:tRNA from 1 species
GCGGGCGUGGUGGAAUUGGCGAGACACGCCGGCCUUAGGAGCCGGUGCUCGAGAGAGCAUGGGGGUUCGAAUCCCUCCGCCCGCA